rnacentral:rRNA from 1 species
AGAGUUUGAUCCUGGCUCAGAACGAACGCUGGCGGCGUGUUUAAGACAUGCAAGUCGCACGGAAUCAUUUUGGUAGUAAUACUCGAAUGGUUUAGUGGCGCACGGGUGAGUAACAUGUGAAUUACAUGCCCUAUAGUGGGGAAUAGCCCAGGGAAACUUGGAUUAAUACCCCAUGGUCUCGCAAGAGUAAAGGUGGCCGCAAGGCUGUCGCUAUAGGAUUGGUUCGCACCCUAUCAGCUUGUUGGUGAGGCAACGGCUCACCAAGGCUACGACGGGUACCUGGUCUGAGAGGACGAUCAGGCACACUGGAACUGAGACACGGUCCAGACACCUACGGGUGGCAGCAGUCGAGAAUAAUUCACAAUGGGGGCAACCCUGAUGGUGCAACGCCGCGUGGAGGAUGAAGGUCUUCGGAUUGUAAACUCCUGUCAUCUGGGAGUAAGACCUGGUCGUGAAUAGCGGACAGGGUUGAUAGUACCAGAAGAGGAAGGGACGGCUAACUUCGUGCCAGCAGCCGCGGUAAUACGAAGGUCCCGAGCGUUGUUCGGAAUCACUGGGCGUAAAGGGAGCGUAGGCGGCGUGGUAAGUCAGAUGUGAAAUCCCGGGGCUCAACCCCGGAACUGCAUCCGAUACUGCCGUGCUAGAGGAUUGGAGAGGUAGCUGGAAUUCUUGGUGUAGCAGUGAAAUGCGUGGAUAUCAAGAGGAACACUCGUGGCGAAAGCGAGCUACUGGACAACUCCUGACGCUGAGGCUCGAAGGCCAGGGUAGCGAAAGGGAUUAGAUACCCUUGUAGUCCUGGC